rnacentral:rRNA from 1 species
UACGAAGGGGGCUAGCGUUGCUCGGAAUCACUGGGCGUAAAGGGUGCGUAGGCGGGUCUUUAAGUCAGGGGUGAAAUCCUGGAGCUCAACUCCAGAACUGCCUUUGAUACUGAGGAUCUUGAGUUCGGGAGAGGUGAGUGGAAUUUCUAGUGUAGCAGUGAUAUGCGUAGAUAUUAGAAGGAACACCAAUGGCGAAGGCAGCUUGCUGGGCCGCCCCUGACGCUGAGGUACGAAAGCGUGGGUAGCGAACAGG